UGGUAGUNCACGCCGUAAACGAUGAGUGCUAGGUGUUAGGCCCUUUCCGGGGCUUAGUGCCGGAGCUAACGCAAUAAGCACUCCGCCUGGGGAGUACGACCGCAAGGUUGAAACUCAAAGGAAUUGACGGGGGCCCGCACAAGCGGUGGAGCAUGUGGUUUAAUUCGAAGCAACGCGAAGAACCUUACCAGGUCUUGACAUCCCGAUGCUAUUCUUAGAGAUAGGAAGUUACUUCGGUACAUCGGAGACAGGUGGUGCAUGGUUGUCGUCAGCUCGUGUCGUGAGAUGUUGGGUUAAGUCCCGCAACGAGCGCAACCCUUAUUGUUAGUUGCCAUCAUUAAGUUGGGCACUCUAGCGAGACUGCCGGUAAUAAACCGGAGGAAGGUGGGGAUGAUGUCAAAUCAUCAUGCCCCUUAUGACCUGGGCUACACACGUGCUACAAUGGUCGGUACAACGAGUUGCGAGCCGGUGACGGCAAGCUAAUCUCUGAAAGCCGAUCUCAGUUCGGAUUGGAGGCUGCAACUCGCCUCCAUGAAGUCGGAAUCGCUAGUAAUCGCGGAUCAGCACGCCGCGGUGAAUACGUUCCCGGGCCUUGUACACACCGCCCGUCACACCACGAGAGUUUGUAACACCCGAAGUCGGUGAGGUAACCUUUUAG
rnacentral:rRNA from 1 species